AAUUCUCAACCUUAUUAGCUUUUGCUGAUAAUGGCUUGGAUGUGGGGGUUUUCUUUUGCUGGCUUUCGUCAGCUCCCCUUAAAUGCAUUAGCUGGUGCCCCGCGUGGACUGUCCGUUCGGUGUGAUAAUUAUCUACGCUGUGGAUGUCUGCAAAUAGGUUUUGCACUGCUUCUAACCGUCUGUUCAUUUGGACAAUACAUGACA
rnacentral:misc_RNA from 1 species